rnacentral:rRNA from 1 species
AGGGAAUCUUCCGCAAUGGACGAAAGUCUGACGGAGCAACGCCGCGUGAGUGAUGACGGCCUUCGGGUUGUAAAGCUCUGUUAAUCGGGACGAAAGGCCUUCUUGCGAAUAGUUAGAAGGAUUGACGGUACCGGAAUAGAAAGCCACGCCUAACUACGUGCCAGCAGCCGCGGUAAUACGUAGGUGGCAAGCGUUGUCCGGAAUUAUUGGGCGUAAAGCGCGCGCAGGCGGAUUGGUCAGUCUGUCUUAAAAGUUCGGGGCUUAACCCCGUGAUGGGAUGGAAACUGCCAAUCUAGAGUAUCGGAGAGGAAAGUGGAAUUCCUAGUGUAGCGGUGAAAUGCGUAGAUAUUAGGAAGAACACCAGUGGCGAGGGCGACUUUCUGGACGAAAACUGACGCUGAGGCGCGAAAGCCAGGGGAGCGAACGGGAUUAGAUACCCCGGUAGUCCUGGCCGUAAACGAUGGGUACUAGGUGUAGGGGGUAUCGACCCCUUCUGUGCCGGAGUUAACGCAAUAAGUACCCCGCCUGGGGAGUACGACCGCAAGGUUG